CCUACGGGUGGCUGCAGUGGGGAAUCUUGCGCAAUGGGCGAAAGCCUGACGCAGCCAUGCCGCGUGAAUGAUGAAGGUCUUAGGAUUGUAAAAUUCUUUCAGUAGGGACGAUAAUGACGGUACCUACAGAAGAAGCCCCGGCUAACUUCGUGCCAGCAGCCGCGGUAAUACGAAGGGGGCUAGCGUUGCUCGGAAUUACUGGGCGUAAAGGGAGCGUAGGCGGACAUUUAAGUCAGGGGUGAAAUCCCAGAGCUCAACUCUGGAACUGCCUUUGAUACUGGGUGUCUUGAGUGUGAUAGAGGUAUGUGGAACUCCGAGUGUAGAGGUGAAAUUCGUAGAUAUUCGGAAGAACACCAGUGGCGAAGGCGACAUACUGGAUCAUUACUGACGCUGAGGCUCGAAAGCGUGGGGAGCAAACAGGAUUAGAUACCCAUGUAGUC
rnacentral:rRNA from 1 species